rnacentral:rRNA from 1 species
UACGUAGGAUGCAAGCGUUGUCCGGAAUUAUUGGGCGUAAAGAGCGCGCAGGCGGUAUGACAAGUCAGAUGUGAAAGAGGCCGGCUUAACCGGCAAGGGUCGUUUGAAACUGUCAGACUAGAGUGCAGCAGAGGAUAGUGGAAUUCCCGGUGUAGUGGUGAAAUGCGUAGAUAUCGGGAGGAACACCAGUGGCGAAGGCGACUAUCUGGGCUGCAACUGACGCUGAGGCGCGAAGGCUAGGGUAGCAAACAGG